GACGAACGCUGGCGGCGUGCCUAACACAUGCAAGUCGAGCGGUUCAAUACAGGCAGAGAUUCAUCGAAGCAGGUAUUGGAUAGCGGCGGACGGGUGAGUAACACGUGGGCAACCUGCCUUCGACUGGGGGAUAACACCGGGAAACCGGUGCUAAUACCGCAUAACAUGAGCGAGUAGCAUUACUUGCACAUCAAAGGAGUAAUCCGGUUGAAGAUGGGCCCGCGUCCGAUUAGCUAGUUGGUGAGGUAACGGCCCACCAAGGCGACGAUCGGUAGCCGAACUGAGAGGUUGAUCGGCCACAUUGGGACUGAGACACGGCCCAGACUCCUACGGGAGGCAGCAGUGGGGAAUAUUGCGCAAUGGGGGGAACCCUGACGCAGCAACGCCGCGUGAAGGAUGAAGGUUUUCGGAUUGUAAACUUCUUUGGCAGGGGACGAAGUAAGACGGUACCCUGAGAACAAGCCACGGCUAACUACGUGCCAGCAGCCGCGGUAAACA
rnacentral:rRNA from 1 species